UCCGGCGUCGCCCAAACGGUAGGGCAGCGGAUUGUUGAUCCGUACAGGUACUGGUUCGAGUCCAGUCGCCGGAG
rnacentral:tRNA from 1 species